GAGCUUGUGAUGAGUUUCUCGGAUUCCCCAUCAAGACAUUGCGAGUGAUGUUAACCCGAGACUCUGAUGCU